rnacentral:lncRNA from 1 species
GGCCACACAACUGUUGAUGGGAAGAGGUGGGAUUUGAAUCCAGGCUGUGUGCUUCCAAACUCUGAAUUCUAAACUAGGAGAGACAGCUCACAUUUGCACUUCUGCUUUGUCCUCUUCAAUCCAAGAGACAGAGCUUCUCCAAUCUCUUGGCCCAAAAGGGACCCACACAGGAGGGUGAUUUAUUAGAAGAUCUGGGUUUGGAAAGCAAAGGUGAAUUUCAAAUCUUCAGC